UGUAAGCGUAUACCAAAGUUGUUGCAGUUAAAACGCUCGUAGUCGGAAUUUGGCAGUUCCGGAUGUGUGCACGUCGUGUGCGCACUUCGCGGGGAUUGCUUUUGUGGUCUUGCGUAGGAUGAGGCACUUUUAUUAGUGAACGUCCUCACGCAACCACUUUUUACUGUGAGAAAAUCAGAGUGCUCAAAGCAGGCAUUUGCCGUGAAUGUAUUAGCAUGGAAUAAUAGAACAGGACUUGGUUCUAUUUUGUUGGUUUGUUGGGACUGAGUAAUGAUUAAGAGGGACAGUUGGGGGCAUUUGUAUUUCGGUGCUAGAGGUGAAAUUCUUAGAUUACCGAAAGACAAACUGCUGCGAAAGCGUCUGCCAAGGAUGUUUUCAUUGA
rnacentral:rRNA from 1 species